rnacentral:misc_RNA from 1 species
GCAAACUUGGUCAUUUAGAGGAAGUAAAAGUCGUAACAAGGUUUCCGUAGGUGAACCUGCGGAAGGAUCAUUACAAAUUCAUGGUGGUGGUGGGUGGGAGGGGAAGGAGAGAGAGAGUUUGGUUCGAGUGCAUUUGCCUUGGAUGAUACUCCUCGCUCUUCCCUCAUUUGCUUACCAAUCCACAUUUACGCUUGUUGUGUUUGACAGAGUAUUAUAUUUAUGAGAAUCUAUGACAACUUUUAACAAUGGAUCUCUUGGCUCUUGCAUCGAUGAAGAACGCAGC